AUGGCUCGGGUGAUCCAGAUUUGCUUCCUGGAACUCGGUCGCCCUGCGGCGUGGGGACCCGCAUCCCGCUCCAAAGAGACCUAUGGCCGGGGUGGAGAUGCAGACGGAAUCCACCCACCCGAUGGACUCUCUUGUGGCCAUCUAUCUGCCUCUGUUCCUAGAUCUGUUUCUGGUCCACUCAGCUCUCUACUGAUUUUUGGCCUUGGCCACUGUGAGACUGUAGACAGGUCAGCAGACAGCAGUGUGGGAAGAAGGCAGGCCAGAUGGGCUUCAUCUCUAGGAUAAAGGAGUUGGAAGUUUGGUGAAGUCACAGGGAAGACAGGAUCUCCAUUUCAGCCUUGGCAGAGGUAAGAGCUACUGGCUAGGUGCUUUGCUUCUCUCAUCUUCAGUGGCUUUAUGAGAUCAUAAACAAUAUAUCACCACAAGGGAGUAUGGAGGAAAUAGUCAGCCAGUUGGGCCUGUGGACCACAAGAACACUGGCUUCUUUCUGAGUGGGAUGAGAUGAUACUGGGAAAGGCCUUUCUGGAGAGCAGAACUGUGCAUGAGUGGGAGCCUGGCUUCAGGAAACUCAUAAGCCAUGGAAAAGAGAGGCCACCAUGGUACAUGUCUACUUCUAGGAGCUUUGUUGACUGAGACAGCAGGACAGUGGGGUAGUUGGUAGAGGAAAGGAAUAAAGAACGGGCUUUUAUUUUCA
rnacentral:lncRNA from 1 species